rnacentral:rRNA from 1 species
AGUGAACGCUGGCGGUAGGCCUAACACAUGCAAGUCGAACGGCAGCACAGUAAGAGCUUGCUCUUACGGUUGGCGAGUGGCGGACGGGUGAGGAAUACAUCGGAAUCUACUUUUUCGUGUGGAUAACGGAGGGGAACUUACGCUGAUACCGCAUACUACCUACGGGUGAAAGUAGUUGAUCUUCGGACCUUGCGCGAAUGAAUGAGCCGAUGUCGCAUUAGCUAGUUGGCGGGGUAAAUGCCCACCAAGGCAACGAUCCGUAGCUGGUCUGAGAGGAUGAUCGGCCACACUGGAACUGAGACACGGUCCAGACUCCUACGGGAGGCAGCAGUGGGGAAUAUUGGACAAUGGGCGAAAGCCUGAUCCAGCCAUGCCGCGUGGGUGAAGAAGGCCUUCGGGUUGUAAAGCCCUGUUGUUGGGAAAGAAAAGCAGCAGGUGAAUACCCCGCUGUUCUGACGGUACCCAAAGAAUAAGCAACGGCUAACUUCGUG